rnacentral:rRNA from 1 species
UACGUAGGGUCCAAGCGUUAUCCGGAAUCACUGGGCGUAAAGCGUGCGUAGGUGGCGCGUUAAGUGAGAUGUUAAAUCGUGUGGCUCAACCAUAUCGAUGCAUCUCAUACUGGCGUGCUAGAGGACAGCAGAGGCAAGCGGAAUUUGUAGUGUAGCAGUGAAAUGCGUAGAUAUUACAAGGAACACCAAUGGCGAAGGCAGCUUGCUGGGCUACUCCUGACACUGAGGUACGAAAGCGUGGGGAGCGAACAGG